AACUUUCAACAAUGGAUCUCUAGGUUCUCGCAUCGAUGAAGAACGUAGCAAAUUGCGAUAACUAGUGUGAAUUGCAUUUUCAGUGAAUCAUCGAGUCUUUGAACGCAUCUUGCACUCUAGGGCAUUCCCUAGAGUACGCCUGUUUCAGUGACAG
rnacentral:rRNA from 2 species